CCUACGGGGCGCAGCAGUGGGGAAUAUUGCACAAUGGGGGAAACCCUGAUGCAGCGACGCCGCGUGAGUGAAGAAGUAAUUCGUUAUGUAAAGCUCUAUCAGCAGGGAAGAAAAUGACGGUACCUGAGUAAGAAGCCCCGGCUAACUACGUGCCAGCAGCCGCGGUAAUACGUAGGGGGCAAGCGUUAUCCGGAUUUAUUGGGUUUAAAGGGUGCGCAGGCGGUCUGUUAAGUCAGCGGUCAAAGCCCGGGGCUCAACCCCGGCCCGCCGUUGAAACUGGCAGUCUCGAGUUGGAGAGAAGUAUG
rnacentral:rRNA from 1 species